rnacentral:rRNA from 1 species
UACGAAGGGGGGCUAGCGUUGCUCGGAAUUACUGGGCGUAAAGGGAGCGUAGGCGGACAGUUUAGUCAGAGGUGAAAGCCCAGGGCUCAACCCUGGAAUUGCCUUUGAUACUGAUUGUCUUGAGUAUGGGAGAGGUGAGUGGAACUCCGAGUGUAGAGGUGAAAUUCGUAGAUAUUCGGAAGAACACCAGUGGCGAAGGCGGCUCACUGGACCGGUAUUGACGCUGAGGUGCGAAAGCGUGGGGAGCAAACAGG